GAUUAGUGGCGAACGGGUGAGUAACACGUGAGUAACCUGCCCUUAACUCUGGGAUAAGCCUGGGAAACUGGGUCUAAUACCGGAUAUGACUGAUCAUCGCAUGGUGGUUGGUGGAAAGCUUUUUGUGGUUUUGGAUGGACUCGCGGCCUAUCAGCUUGUUGGUGAGGUAAUGGCUUACCAAGGCGACGACGGGUAGCCGGCCUGAGAGGGUGACCGGCCACACUGGGACUGAGACACGGCCCAGACUCCUACGGGAGGCAGCAGUGGGGAAUAUUGCACAAUGGGCGCAAGCCUGAUGCAGCGACGCCGCGUGAGGGAUGACGGCCUUCGGGUUGUAAACCUCUUUCAGUAGGGAAGAAGCGAAAGUGACGGUACCUGCAGAAGAAGCGCCGGCUAACUACGUGCCAGCAGCCGCGGUAAUACGUAGGGCGCAAGCGUUAUCCGGAAUUAUUGGGCGUAAAGAGCUCGUAGGCGGUUUGUCGCGUCUGCCGUGAAAGUCCGGGGCUCAACUCCGGAUCUGCGGUGGGUACGGGCAGACUAGAGUGAUGUAGGGGAGACUGGAAUUCCUGGUGUAGCGGUGAAAUGCGCAGAUAUCAGGAGGAACACCGAUGGCGAAGGCAGGUCUCUGGGCAUUAACUGACGCUGAGGAGCGAAAGCAUGG
rnacentral:rRNA from 1 species